rnacentral:rRNA from 1 species
AUUGAACGCUGGCGGCAGGCCUAACACAUGCAAGUCGAGCGAGCGGCGGACGGGUGAGUAAUGUAUGGGGACUCCCCGAUAGAGGGGGAUAACUACUGGAAACGGUGGCUAAUACCGCAUACUAUCGGAUAACCCAUAUGGGAUUAGAUAGUUGGUGGGGUAAAGGCUCACCUAGGCGACGAUCCCUAGCUGGUCUGAGAGGCUGAUAUGCCACACUGGUACUGAGACACGGCCCAGACUCCUACGGAGGCAGCAGUGGGGAAUAUUGCACAAUGGGCGCAAGCCUGAUGCAGCCAUGCCGCGGGUAUGAAGAAGGCCUUAGGGUUGUAAAGUACUGUCAGCGGGGAGGCGUUACCCGCAGAAGAAGCACCGGCUAACUCCGUGCCAGCAGCCGCGGUAAUUC